CCCGUCGUACAGGUUGACUUUUCUCAACGAAUAUACGUUUCGAAACGACAUAGAGUAAAUACGUAAUACGAAACAACAAAGGUAUUGGUCAUUGUCAACAUAAAUUGUGAUUUACGUAUUGCUGCUACGGAUUAACGUGCUUACAUGAAGUAAUAAAUGCAAUCAAAGACCCAAAAUACAGUUAGAAUUUACUGAGGUCGUAGUGAAUAUCAGCUGCUGCAGUAGCCACCAGAAAGAUCGCGGGAGGCGCACAUCGGCACGGCGCGUCACGGACGGUAGUUGCCGCAAAUAGAGUCCCGUCCACCAGAGGGCACACGAGAAUUUGGCCGCGACCUCUGCCAGCGGAACAACAAGAACAACUCAGGCAGCAUGGGCCGGGCCCAGUGAGUUCACAUCGGGAAUGUCUAUGAGACAGUUCCCGGUCUACUCAGAAGUGCGACGGAAAACGUGAACCGUGUUACUACAGAAUUGGGGCGUGUCGAUGUGCGCCUCCUGUGAUCUUUCUGGUGGCUACUGCAGCUGCUAUAUUAUUUGCUGAUUGCACACUCAACUUCAGACAGUAAAAUCAAAGAUAUCUUGCCAUUAUUUUCCCAAAUCUCAUCAAUAUUACUAAUCGCCCAAACAUAUAUAAGACAAUUUUGCAUCACAUUUUUUCUGAAAUAACUUUUAAACAUCAUUUGCUUCCAUCUUCUGAUAUCUUAUUUGUAUACUCAAGAUUUAGAAAUUCUGUCAUGUAAUGUAGGCUGUAUACAGUGCUUAUAAUUGUGUUAUUCAACAAAUGACUAAGCAUCCUUCAGGACAGAAACUUAUACAGUGGUAAAGAUGUAGAAGAUGGAUGACCAAAACAGAGAGAGAAUUCUAGGACAGAAAAGAUGUAGAUGUUGGAUAACCAUCCUGGAACAGAACCGUAGGACAAGAAAGAUGUAGAUGAUGGGUGACCAAGCUGGGACAGAAUGCCAAGACAGGAAAGAUGUAGAAAUGAGUGGACCAGGAAGCAAAGAAUCAUUACACCAAGGUGUGCUCGGUUGUCUUGGACACUCCUAAUGUCCCCUGUGACAGGUCAGCCAGCAGCGACAAAGUCAUUAGCAUCGGGGUGGACACCCACCUUCCAGGCAACGAGAACAGCAGCUCAUCAUCGACGAUGUUUUCUUUUUCUAUUGUGGUGGGCAUCCGCAUACUAUAAGCGCAGCCAAUACACUAGCAGCACCACGUGUCGACGUCACGGGCACAGAGAAGACAUCACCUAUUGGCUGGAGACGCAGUGGCUCUGCUGUUACCACAACAGAAACAUUACAUCAUUGUGAGGCUAACAUCAGUACAGUCAGAAAUGUUUACCUGGCAUUUAAAACUGAUUUUUGUUUACAAUAAACAAAUUAUUUGAGCAA
rnacentral:lncRNA from 1 species